GAUGAACGCUGGCGGCGUGCUUAACACAUGCAAGUCGAACGAAGCACUUUAUUUGAUUUCCUUCGGGACUGAUUAUUUUGUGACUGAGUGGCGGACGGGUGAGUAACGCGUGGGUAACCUGCCUUGUACAGGGGGAUAACAGUUGGAAACGGCUGCUAAUACCGCAUAAGCGCACAGCAUCGCAUGAUGCAGUGUGAAAAACUCCGGUGGUAUAAGAUGGACCCGCGUUGGAUUAGCUAGUUGGUGAGGUAACGGCCCACCAAGGCGACGAUCCAUAGCCGGCCUGGGAGGGUGAGCGGCCACAUUGGGGCUGAGACACGGCCCAAACUCCUACGGGAGGCAGCAGUGGGGAAUAUUGCACAAUGGGCGAAAGCCUGAUGCAGCGACGCCGCGUGAGCGAAGAAGUAUUUCGGGAUGUAAAGCUCUAUCAGCAGGGAAGAUAAUGACGGUACCUGACUAAGAAGCACCGGCUAAAUACGUG
rnacentral:rRNA from 1 species